GCCUCUGUAACAUGAUUACUGAUUUGUAAUCAGUAGGUCCGCGGUUCGAGUCCGUGUGGGGGCACCA
rnacentral:tRNA from 1 species